rnacentral:rRNA from 1 species
GACGUAGGGGGCCAGCGUUGCUCGGAAUUACUGGGUGUAAAGGGUUCGUAGGCGGUGUGGCAAGUCGGGAGUGAAAUCUCUGAGCUUAACUCAGGGGCUGCUUCCGAAACUGCUGUGCUAGAGUGUGGGAGAGGCGCGUGGAAUUGCAGGUGUAGCGGUGAAAUGCGUAGAUAUCUGCAGGAACACCCGUGGCGAAAGCGGCGCGCUGGACCACUACUGACGCUGAGGCGCGAAAGCUAGGGGAGCAAACAGG